rnacentral:tRNA from 2 species
GGAGGGUUGCCAGAGCGGACGAAUGGGACGGUCUCGAAAACCGUUGUGGUGUCACAGCCACCGUGGGUUCAAAUCCCACACCCUCCG